AUGCCUUGGGCAGCACAUAUACUAAAAUUGGAACUAUAUGGAGAAGAUCAGUGUGGCCCCUACACGAGGCUGGUAUGUGAAUUCAUGAAGCGUCCCCCAUUUUC